GCGGAUGUGGUGGAAUUGGUAGACACGCCAUCUUGAGGGGGUGGUGCCGUAAGGCGUGGGAGUUCGAGUCUCCCCAUCCGCACCA
rnacentral:tRNA from 1 species